CCAAAGGCUCUUUUCAGAGCCAUUAACCUCUGUCUUGCCAGUGAUC
rnacentral:ncRNA from 1 species